AGGAGCUUGCUCCUUUGACGUUAGCGGCGGACGGGUGAGUAACACGUGGGUAACCUACCUAUAAGACUGGGAUAACUUCGGGAAACCGGAGCUAAUACCGGAUAAUAUUUCGAACCGCAUGGUUCGAUAGUGAAAGAUGGUUUUGCUAUCACUUAUAGAUGGACCCGCGCCGUAUUAGCUAGUUGGUAAGGUAACGGCUUACCAAGGCGACGAUACGUAGCCGACCUGAGAGGGUGAUCGGCCACACUGGAACUGAGACACGGUCCAGACUCCUACGGGAGGCAGCAGUAGGGAAUCUUCCGCAAUGGGCGAAAGCCUGACGGAGCAACGCCGCGUGAGUGAUGAAGGUCUUCGGAUCGUAAAACUCUGUUAUUAGGGAAGAACAUACGUGUAAGUAACUGUGCACGUCUUGACGGUACCUAAUCAGAAAGCCACGGCUAACUACGUGCCAGCAGCCGCGGUAAUACGUAGGUGGCAAGCGUUAUCCGGAAUUAUUGGGCGUAAAGCGCGCGUAGGCGGUUUUUUAAGUCUGAUGUGAAAGCCCACGGCUCAACCGUGGAGGGUCAUUGGAAACUGGAAAACUUGAGUGCAGAAGAGGAAAGUGGAAUUCCAUGUGUAGCGGUGAAAUGCGCAGAGAUAUGGAGGAACACCAGUGGCGA
rnacentral:rRNA from 1 species